UGUAACGGCAGCCUUACACAUGCAAGUCGAACGGUGUCUUCGGACAUAGUGGCGGACGGGUGAGUAACGCGUGAGAAUCUGGCUUUAGGUCUGGGACAACCACUGGAAACGGUGGCUAAUACCGGAUGUGCCCUUCGGGGUGAAAGAUUAAUUGCCUGAAGAUGAGCUCGCGUCUGAUUAGCUAGUUGGAAGUGUAAUGGACUCCCAAGGCGACGAUCAGUAGCUGGUCUGAGAGGACGAUCAGCCACACUGGGACUGAGACACGGCCCAGACUCCUACGGGAGGCAGCAGUGGGGAAUUUUCCGCAAUGGGCGAAAGCCUGACGGAGCAAUACCGCGUGAGGGAGGAAGGCUCUUGGGUCGUAAACCUCUUUUCUCAGGGAAGAACACAAUGACGGUACCUGAGGAAUAAGCAUCGGCUAACUCCGUGCCAGCAGCCGCGGUAAUACGGAGGAUGCAAGCGUUAUCCGGAAUGAUUGGGCGUAAAGCGUCCGCAGGUGGCAAUGUAAGUCUGCUGUUAAAGAGUCUAGCUCAACUAGAUAAGAGCAGUGGAAACUACAUAGCUAGAGUACGUUCGGGGCAGAGGGAAUUCCUGGUGUAGCGGUGAAAUGCGUAGAAUA
rnacentral:rRNA from 1 species